CACGCACAUCGCAAGCAUUAUUAUAAGGUAUGUGAGAUUAUUGCUGGUGCAGAUGGACAAGGAAUGGUGGCUUGACACCCUGGCUGACAUCUUUAAAGAUUUCAGGAGACUUUAGGAAGCUAUAUCCAGAGGCAGACAGAAAACAUUUUGAAGACUGGACUAACGUUACAAUCGUAGACCGAAUUCUUGCCUAUGCCCAUCGAGAUGGAAAGGUGCAUUUAGAGCUGGGUGACAUGACUCCAGAUGCUAAAGGGGAGAGUGCUUUCAAUGUCCUGCCCACUCUGCUUCCCCCAUCAAUAUACAAGCAAGGCGGAGAGGUCUUCAGACCCACAACCACGGAAUCCCGGAAGUCAUUCAUUGACGUACAACC